AUCGCUUCUCGGCCUUUUGGCUAAGAUCAAGUGUAGUAUAGCUCGUCUUUACAGCCAUGAAAUUGGUUAAAACCAUGAAAGCAUU
rnacentral:snRNA from 1 species